CAAAUAGGGAAUUCCAUUUGGGAUUUGAUGUAAGAGCUGGACCAGUUAUACCGUUGGUAUCAAUUUAGGACGGAGAGCAGGGAUAAUACGGCGGAGUAAUGCACAGAGAAUAAAUAUUGGAGCUGUUUGUACCGUACAUGGAUGAAACAGAGGAAUGGUACUACAGAACCGUAUUCGAUGUGGGAGAGUUGGAAUUGGUCAAUCGGCAUCUUUACUUGAUCCUUCAGCCGAUUGCCCUCCCAAUGCUGUCUUCUUUCAAGGUUACUUCGGUGGGAGACACGGUAAGCCUGUUCAUGUGCCUAAUGCUAUCUGUAUUUUUUAGCAACCAAUCUGGCAACAUUUGUGGCGUCAUACUGAUGCAGGACUCCUGAACUUGUAACAGAGUCCAGGGCAGGGGUGAGCUUAGUGGUAAGGACGGUGAUGACUGUAGGAAACUAUGACUAUAUAUUUGAUUGGGACUUCAAGCCAAGUGGCUCUAUCAAAACUGGGAAAUAGAGGCAUUGAAAACAAGGACACAGCAGUACGGUAUACAAUGGUUUCAUCAUGUACCAAUCCAUGAAGAUUUUCCAGUGAUUCCUACUAUGACCCUGGAUUUGAAGGCCAACCGGCCAACUUCUUUGAGAGCAAUCCACUGCUCAAAAUGAAGUCUCCCAAGGUUGCUGUGGUUUGGCCUAAUUGCACAUCCCAACACUAGUUGGAUUUUGACAUUAAUUUGUAGUUGGAAGACACUUUCUUUGUAACUACAAUAUAGCAAAUUAAAAAAAAAUUUGGCAUCAAACGCAAACAAAUAAAAAUGCAGGUGGUGUUGAGCUUAAUUUGGUCAAGAAUGAUAUUAUUAAAUAAUUUGCUGAAUGGUUGACUCUUUAAUUUCUACGCAAUAAAUCUUUAAUGCCGGCCAUUUUGUUGUUAAUGGCAUCGGCUUGGAC